UUGAUUUAAAUGUCAUUGGUAUUUGGUUGCAAGUUAGCUCCAAAAAUCUCAAUAGCUCAGCGCAUCUGCUGUCAUGUGCCAAGUGCAGUUGAAACUCCAUUCAGAUGUUCAAUUUCUAUCUACGGAAUGAUCUUCCCUGGUUAUCUGACUCUGGAGUUCCAGCUCAGUAAGGAACGAGGGAGCAUUGACAGAUCACCACUCGUCCAGGAGACCAAGGAGCAUGGCUGUCUGAGCCCCCCAUAAGCCUCGGCGAAUGCCAUUCAGGUCCUGCCCAGGGAGCAGUUUACCAAGGCAGCCGGCAGCUCGGCCACAUUGGCAGGAAAUACUUCC